GUGUAAAGAACUUCAUAUGUUACAAGUGAUGAAGUCAGGCAGGCAUUAUGAAGAGCUUUACAUUAAGGCAGCCUUUCCAAUGUGCUGCUGGCUGAGGAUGAUGAGAGCUGUUGUCUGGAGGGUUUGGAAAGGAUGUUUGAAAGAACAUGGUGCUGCUGUUUGUAAGCCAUGGCAUUUGUGGAGACUGUUGGAAUACUAGGUGGGUUCAACCGCGUACAGGAUGCACACUCUGAACUCUGCCAGUGGUGGAAAAUGGAGGAUUCUUCAGACCCAUCAUCUUUUGGGGUCUUGAAUGUGACCCAGCCUGAAGGGGCUCAGCAAGUCAAGCAAGAAUGGGAUGAAGCCUGCUGGGACCUUGACUUUCUUCUGAGAAACUUCUCUGUUGCAGAGCAGAACACUGGUAUUCCUUGGGUAGGCCAGGAGGAAAAGCCAUUUUUGUCUGUCUCCCAGACAGUAACUACUGAGGAAGAAACUAGGGAGAGUCUCCCAGGAAGCCAUAGGGUCCCAGAAGUCCCCAGGACCUCAAGUUUGGGCACUGGAUUCUCACCAGGAGAAAACUGUGUGGACUGUAGCCCUGCCUUGCACAGCUUUGUCCAGGAGGUGACAGAUCCUAGUAAGGGUCUGGUACAGUCUGGUGAUCAGGUGCAACAGUUCCUUACCCAGGUGGACUAUGGGGUUCCUGCUACAGUGGGGCAGCAUCAUGGGCAGUCAAAACAGAGAGCUUAUGGACAGUAUUACCAGAUGACCUAUGAGGCGUAUAUGCACCCAGGUCCCCCUUCACUAGGCAAGCAUGCUCCUUACAGCCCACUCCUACCAGUGCAAUCGCAGCUGCAGCAGUGCAGCCUGCUGACGGGCUAUUAUCCCUUUCACCACGGCCAGUACCAAGCCCGAGUCCAGAUGUACCAGACAGAUACAGCUCUGCCACCUUUGCCGCUUCUGGGGCUCCUGACACCUCCCUUGCCUGCCAAGGAAACCACAGCCAAGCCAAAGAAGGGACACAGAUCCUGGUCACACAAACGGCCUGCAAACCAUCUCUGCAGUCAUCCCAGCUGUGGCAAGACCUACACCAAGAGCUCGCACCUCAAGGCCCAUCUCCGCACUCACACAGGUGAGAAGCCAUAUCACUGCACAUGGGAAGGUUGUGGCUGGAAAUUUGCCCGCUCAGAUGAGCUGACUCGCCACUUUCGCAAGCACACGGGGCAGCGCCCCUUCAAGUGCCACCUCUGCCAGCGUGCUUUCUCCCGCUCAGAUCACCUCUCAUUGCACUUGAAGAGGCACUUGUGAGCUGGAUUGCAGUGGAUGUUCUGUAGCAACCAGAAGAGCCAGCACAGUGGGCUAUUGGCAGGGUUCCUUGCAUACGCGCACCAAUACCUGCUCUUCAAUGUGCAGGCAGCCAUAAGAUUUUAAAUGUGGUGGUUGUGGUUUAAGCAUGCAAUCAAAACACUUCGCUUUAGGGCAGAGAACCAUGUUCAGAUCUUUCCACUAGCUUUCAAAUAGUGCAGCAAUCUUCACUCUGAACAUUCAACUGUACCUCAAAUGUUUGGCCUACUGCCCUGCUGUUACUGCAGGGAGCAUGUUUGAAAGGCACUUUUGAUGGAAGAUCAGCACAAGCUCCAAUUUGGAGUGUGCAGGUGUGAUGGGCUGCCUCAGAAGCCCAUGUCUGGUUUUCCUUGAAAUAAAAUACGCAUUCUUUAAAAAAGCAUGAUAGAUUACACAAUAGGAGGCUUUGUAUGACACAUUAGUUCACCCGGAGCAUCCAACAAACAGUUGGGCACUUUGUGGGUCCCUCCGUCCUCCCACAAAUAUUCCAGGGGCCACUGCAAGAGUACCAAGGUCCUUUCCCUGCCCACCACUGUGGGGCAUGCUCAGAUUUUGUGCACAGCUUCACAGGAAAAAGGCUACAUGACCUGAUAAAGCCUAUGUGAUUAUCUGACGCAUGCAGGCUCAGAAGGAUCACACUGCAGUAUUUUUAUACCCAGUGAGCUUUUACAGGAGUUGUUUACUAGUACAUAGGUAUAAAAGAUGAUUGCUCCUUAGGAGGGAUAAAUGCCUCAACGUGGUUGUUAAGAAUUCCCCUUUUCUGGAAUAAAACUUGCUCCUGUUGCUUACAAAGAAGCCUCUCCUGUUCAGUCUCACUGGGGUGGGCGCCCCAGAACCAAACCUAGCCUUUUGCUAUACCAAGAGCUAUCUUCAGCUCACCAUGUCUUCUUCUCAUUUUUAAACUUCUUUCUGGAGAUUGUUGUCCCCAUUUGGGCAACUACAAACAGACCCUCCAGGAUUCCAUAGUUUAGACAGGUUUCCUGUGGCUGUAUAUUUUUUAAAUCAGAAUGCAUUAAGUUGUAUGUAUAAAAAUUAAGAAGUUUUUAGACUUUUUGAACAAAAACCAGGACCCCCAUGGCAGCAAAGUACAGUUGCCACAGGGCUCCAAAUAGAGGGCUAGUUCUAGCCACUCUGAAAAAAGUUUUAAAAGGGCGCCUAACUAUGGGCAGCUCCUCUGAUGCACUUUAGAGGGAAUGCUUUUAAGCACAAAAGCUGGGAUCAUGAAAGUGGCUUGAUAGCUGCCUUUUGUGAUCUGGAAAAAAAUUUAAAGGAACUCCAAGCAGUGAUGAGCCCAAGAGCUGCAGUGAGGAAAAGUGGACCCUGGUGCCCUGUGGUUUCCCCUGGGAUAUCAGAGGGAGGGCUGGCCCAGCAGAAGGGCAGGGCCCUGCUCUCCACAUCAUGGCUGCCUCGUUGUCGGCUGCAAAUUGUGCCUUGUGUCAGGCAAACCCCCACGCUAUGUCAAAUCUCAAUGACUGCCUAACUGAUGAGGAGCAAGAAAUAUGUGUGCAAAUAUCUUGAAGUCAUAUCCUCUUGUCUAAAGACUUAAAUUUGUUCCAAAGAUCAUUCACAUACAUUUUUGAACUGUUUCUUGUAGAAGUGAUCAACUAGAUUCACUAAAGAGUCACCUUUCAGCCUUGCUGUGGUGGCUGACCUAGUUCAGUUUAUCCUUUUUUAAAAAGCAGAUCAUAUAGGAGUAGUAUGUUGCAUGCUGUAAAAACACUGAUCUGAAAUAUUUCCCCUGACAUCUGAUUUUCUGUAUCAUAUCCUUCCAUGUAGAAGGAACAUUCUGUGUUGAAGACUGUACAGUCGUGUGGACCAUGCCUGCGCUCUGAAGUGGCACAGCUCAGCUUUACCACUUCAGUGAAAAUUAAAGAAGAGAUGAUGGAAUAGCUUCCCAGUGCCUUCUGAGUGAUAGUGAUGGGAUUUUGCCAUGUGGAAGC